rnacentral:rRNA from 1 species
UGGGAAGAUAAUGACGGUACCAGGUAAAGAAGCCCCGGCUAACUCCGUGCCAGCAGCCGCGGUAAUACGGAGGGGGCUAGCGUUGUUCGGAAUUACUGGGCGUAAAGCGCGCGUAGGCGGACUGGAAAGUUGGGGGUGAAAUCCCGGGGCUCAACCCCGGAACUGCCUCCAAAACUGUCAGUCUGGAGUUCGAGAGAGGUGAGUGGAAUUCCGAGUGUAGAGGUGAAAUUCGUAGAUAUUCGGAGGAACACCAGUGGCGAAGGCGGCUCACUGGCUCGAUACUGACGCUGAGGUGCGAAAGUGUGGGGAGCAAACAGGAUUAGAUACCCUGGUAGUCCACACCGUAAACGAUGAAUGCCAGACGUCGGGCAGCAUGCUGUUCGGUGUCACACCUAACGGAUUAAGCAUUCCGCCUGGGGAGUACGGCCGCAAGGUUAAAACUCAAAGGAAUUGACGG